rnacentral:lncRNA from 1 species
UCUAAACUCUAUUCACAUCAAUUGAAGUUCACAAAAGAAGAUGGAAUCUCAAUCCAUCCGGGUCGUACUCAAGACCCCCUUCAGAAUUAUCUUCUUCUUCCAAAAAUCAUUUUCCUCAAGUUCGCCUUCGAGUUCUCCUUCUCAGACUCCUCCUCCUCAGCUCCUCAACGGAGUCCUGAAAUGUUUUUCCCCAAACUGGGAUGAGACUACGUCUCAGCGAGUUCUACCCCACUAAGCCCGAUUAGUAAACCAUUAUACUAUAGGCUGCCUAAACACGCAUAGGGCAGAAGACUUACCUUGGCCUCAUAUUCCACCUGCAAGUCAGUACAAUUCACAUACCUUACGUAUAGAAUCGAUACAUCCAGCAAUUGAAACGCAUCACUCAACUCAACAAAUCACAAGGGUCCAGAUUAUAGGGCCAAAUCGUUAUGACACGUCCCAUUCCAUGUCACACAAUUUUGUCUCAUAAUCCGGCGCAUCAAACUCAACCAUCAUGCGUUCCAAUUGUUAAUUACACCCCUCAAGGGUACGGCCAACUCUAUUGGCGGUCUUCUGGCAUUACCAGGCGUCGUCUCUCCCCGUGAGCACGGCAACGUCUCUCAAUUAGACGGCUUCCCCGAAGGGGCGUAGGUCCAGAAUCUACUGCGACCCACUACCCUAAUGCAUGGGUAACCCGAAAAGGGAUUUAGUAACGUCCGGCAUAAUUGCUCGAGACUGGUUCUCUUAACCAACACACGACCACUCAAUAUCGGCCCAGGACCCUGUGCAUUGCACUCAAAUGCCUCCGUUAAAAUAGUGAUCCUGGCCUAUUUCCUUCGUAUUAAAAACAUCCCGAAAAUAGUCGUGUGUGGGUACACGGUCAAUUCGAACCAAAAGACUGAUACUUAUCUUUUUCAAACCCCACUAUUUGAUAUAGUACUAAAAAUCCAUUUUUGGUGUUAAAACCCGAGACCCGGGAUUUUCUGAAUAAAUAUCAAAAUCCACAAAUUUUGGAAUUAAAUACCAAGAAUCCAAUCAGCACUCCAUUUGCAUAAUUUAACACUCAAUUGCAGAACUUAACCACACCAUUUACCAAUCCACAAUUCAGUCUCAAUCAAUUCCAAUCAAUUUAGAGUAAAUCUCUAAAAUAUCACAAUUUAUUUAAUUCCAUACAACGUGUAGCUCAUAUAAAUAAACGGACUGCGCCACGACGAUCAGCACGAGAUUUUGGUCGUCGGCCAUCAAAAUCUUAAUUUCCGAAAAAUAAUUAAUUUAUUAUGAAUUUCGAAAUGAAAUAAUUAAUAUUAAAAAUUCAAUUUAGCACAAAAUAAAGCCCAAUUAAAUAAACGGACUUCACCACAGUCAUCAGCAUAAAAUUCCGAUUCCGGGACCAUCUCAGUUGAAUUUUCGGAAAAUAAAUAAAUAAUUAAUUUAAUUCCGAAAAAUGAUAUUUAAAUGCCAAAAAUCACACUUAGGCCCGAAUCGCCAAAUUGAAGCCCAAUUAGGGGUCGGAAAAUUUCCGAGAUACUUCCAAUAAAUAGUAGACCACGUCUACUUGUUAAUUGCGCAAUCAAUUUAUCUAAAUCGCAUCACAAUUGACUAAUAAUUGUUAAUUUAUUCUAAUCUAACAACCUAAACAUAAUUAAUUAAAACUAAACCAACAUUAAGGAUAAUUAGCCAACUAAUCCUGAAUUAGUGAGAUUACUCACCAAAUCGCGAGCAAAUCGGAUCAAUCCGACGACGGCGACGCGAGGAACAAAACUUCCCAAAGCGACUCGCGGAUCCGGGGCCCGGAAACGGCCCAAAAGCGGGCCCGAACCAGCUGGAAACCCAUUUCGUGGGUUGCUGGUUGGCUGCGAAACAGGGGAAAACAGAGAUGGUUAGAGGCGGAGAGGGGUCGGGAAAGCAAGAGGCAGUCCGGUGAGGCCACACGGCGGCUCCGGCGGCUUGCUCGGCCACUCACGGUGGCUGGACGAGACGGAACAGGGGCGAGAGACGCACGGGGGAGGCCUGAGCGCGAGGAAACGAGGCUGGCGGCGCACGGCGGUGAGCGGCGCGCACACGGGCGCGGGCGCAGGCGUGCGGUGCGACGACGAGACAAGCGGCGACGGUGAGCUGCAGCUUCUGGUUUGGGCUUGCUGGUUCGCACGCGACAAAGGAAGGAGAAGAAGAAGCUGGUUCUAUCGUGUGCGGGAAGGAAGAAGAGAGAGGAGAGAGAAGAGAGGGGAGAGGAUAUGCAUUGACCGGUCAAAAAGGGAAGGGAGAGAGAAUAGGCGGUGGGGGAAAAAGAAUUCGCACGAGGGGGAAGGGAAAAGGGAAAGGAGAGAGAGAGAAAAGAGAAAAGAAAGAGAAUAAAGAAAAGAAGAGAGAGGGAGAGAGGGAAAUAAAAUAUUAC